GGUAUCGCCGUUAGUCAUGUGCAAAUAUGGAUAGCUGUUUUAGCCGUCUUUAUUGACUGGUUCAUAAGAGUUAUCAGAUAUCACUUUGAUUAAAUUAGAGUGCUUAAAGCAAGUGUGUUACUUGGAUAUAAAUGCAUGGAAUGAUGGAAUAUGUUGUUAUUCUAUUUGUUGGUUUUUGAAUGAUAAAAUGAUUGAAAGGAACUGUUGGGGGCAUUCGUAUUGUUGUGAGAGAGGUGAAAUUCUUAGACCACAGCAAGACGAACUACUGCGAAAGCAUUUGCCAAGAAUGUUUUCAUUGAUCAAGAACGAAAGUUAGAGGUUCGAAGGCGAUCAGAUACCGCCCUAGUUCUAACCAUAAACUAUGCCAACUAGCAAUUUGCUUUGUAUUUUUUAUGACUAAGUGAGAGGCCACGGGAAACCUAAGUAGGGUUAUGGGGGAAGUAUGGUUGCAAAGCUGAAACUUAAAGGAAUUGACGGAAGGGCACCACCAGGAGUGGAGCCUGCGGCUUAAUUUGACUCAACACGGGAAAACUUACCUGGUCCUGACACUAGAAGGAUUGACAGAUUGAUAGCUCUUUCUUGAUUUGGUGGAUGGUGGUGCAUGGCCGUUCUUAGUUGGUGGAGUGAUUUGUCUGGUUAAUUCCGAUAACGAACGAGACUCUAGCCUAUUAAAUAAUGCACGGAAUUUUAUCUUCCGCGGUAUUUCUUAGUGGGAUCAAGCG
rnacentral:rRNA from 1 species